GAUGAACGCUGGCGGCGUGCCUAAUACAUGCAAGUCGAGCGAACAGACGAGGAGCUUGCUCCUCUGACGUUAGCGGCGGACGGGUGAGUAACACGUGGAUAACCUACCUAUAAGACUGGGAUAACUUCGGGAAACCGGAGCUAAUACCGGAUAAUAUAUUGAACCGCAUGGUUCAAUAGUGAAAGACGGUUUUGCUGUCACUUAUAGAUGGAUCCGCGCCGCAUUAGCUAGUUGGUAAGGUAACGGCUUACCAAGGCAACGAUGCGUAGCCGACCUGAGAGGGUGAUCGGCCAAACUGGAACUGAGACAAGGUCCAGACUCCUACGGGAGGCAGCAGUAGGGAAUCUUCCGCAAUGGGCGAAAGCUUGACGGAGCAACGCCGCGUGAGUGAUGAAGGUCUUCGGAUCGUAAAACUCUGUUAUUAGGGAAGAACAAAUGUGUAAGUAACUAUGCACGUCUUGACGGUACCUAAUCAGAAAGCCACGGCUAACUACGUG
rnacentral:rRNA from 1 species